CCUACGGGAGGCAGCAGUGGGGAAUCUUGCACAAUGGAGGAAACUCUGAUGCAGCGAUGCCGCGUGAGUGAAGAAGGCCUUUGGGUUGUAAAGCUCUUUUGUAGGGGAAGAUAAUGACUGUACCCUAAGAAUAAGGUCCGGCUAACUUCGUGCCAGCAGCCGCGGUAAUACGAAGGGACCUAGCGUAGUUCGGAAUUACUGGGCGUAAAGCGCGCGUAGGCCGUUGAGUUAGUUAAUUGUGAAAUCCCAAAGCUUAACUUUGGAACUGCAAUUAAAACUGCUCGACUAGAGUUUGAUAGAGGAAAGCGGAAUACAUAGUGUAGAGGUGAAAUUCGUAGAUAUUAUGUAGAACACCAGUUGCGAAGGCGGCUUUCUGGAUCAACACUGACGCUGAGGCGCGAAAGUAUGGGUAGCAAAGAGGAUUAGAUACCCUCGUAGUCCGUACCAUAAACGAUGAUUGCUAGAUGUUGGAAAUUUAUUUUCAGUAUCGCAGCUAACGCAUUAAGCAAUCCGCCUGGGGAGUACGACCGCAAGGUUAAAACUCAAAGGAAUUGACGG
rnacentral:rRNA from 1 species